rnacentral:rRNA from 1 species
AUUGAACGCUGGCGGCAGGCCUAACACAUGCAAGUCGAGCGGAUGAAGGGAGCUUGCUCCUGGAUUCAGCGGCGGACGGGUGAGUAAUGCCUAGGAAUCUGCCUGGUAGUGGGGGAUAACGUCCGGAAACGGGCGCUAAUACCGCAUACGUCCUUAGGGAGAAAGUGGGGGAUCUUCGGACCUCACGCUAUCAGAUGAGCCUAGGUCGGAUUAGCUAGUUGGUGGGGUAAAGGCCUACCAAGGCGACGAUCCGUAACUGGUCUGAGAGGAUGAUCAGUCACACUGGAACUGAGACACGGUCCAGACUCCUACGGGAGGCAGCAGUGGGGAAUAUUGGACAAUGGGCGAAAGCCUGAUCCAGCCAUGCCGCGUGUGUGAAGAAGGUCUUCGGAUUGUAAAGCACUUUAAGUUGGGAGGAAGGGAAGUAAGUUAAUACCUUGCUGUUUUGACGUUAACAACAGAAUAAGCACCGGCUAACUUCGUG